GACGAACCGUGCGAUCGUUAUUCGGAAUCAUUGGGCUUAAAGGGCGCGUAGGCGGCGGUGUAAGUUGGACGUGAAAUCCCAUCGGCUCAACCGUGGAAUUGCUCCCAGUACUGCAUCGCUCGAGGGGGAUAGGGGUUUGCGGAACUACCGGUGGAGCGGUGAAAUGUGUUGAUAUCGGUGGGAACGCCAGUGGCGAAAGCGGCAAACUUGACCCUUCCUGACGCUGAGGCGCGAAAGCUAGGGGAGCAAACGGG
rnacentral:rRNA from 1 species